ACACCUCAACUCUCAUGGUUUUUCCAUGAUGGGCUUGGACUUUGGGGGUCUUGCCGGCCUAUGGUCAGCUCCUCUUAAAUGAAUCAGCUUGCCAGUGUUUGGUGUGGCAUCACAGGUGUGAUAACUAUCUACGCUUGUGGUUUUCCAUCAAGUAACCUUCAGUGAUGGAGGUUCGCUGGGGCUCAUAAAGGCCUCUCCUCGGUGAGGAUGGCUCCUUUGAAC
rnacentral:misc_RNA from 1 species